UACGUAGGGGGCUAGCGUUGUUCGGAAUUACUGGGCGUAAAGGGCUCGUAGGCGGCCAACUAAGUCGGAUGUGAAAUCCCCAGGCUUAACCUGGGAACUGCAUCCGAUACUGGAUGGCUUGAAUCCGGGAGAGGGAUGCAGAAUUCCAGGUGUAGCGGUGAAAUGCGUAGAUAUCUGGAGGAAUACCGGUGGCGAAGGCGGCAUCCUGGACCGGCAUUGACGCUGAUGAGCGAAAGCUAGGGGAGCAAACGGG
rnacentral:rRNA from 1 species